rnacentral:rRNA from 1 species
UUGACCUCAAAUCGGGUGAGACUACCCGCUGAACUUAAGCAUAUCAAUAAGCGGAGGAAAAGAAACUAACAAGGAUUCCCCUAGUAACUGCGAGUGAAGCGGGAAAAGCUCAAAUUUAAAAUCUGGUGGUCUUUCGGCCAUCCGAGUUGUAAUUUAGAGAAGCGUCUUCCGCGCUGGACCGUACACAAGUCUCCUGGAACGGAGCGUCAUAGAGGGUGAGAAUCCCGUCUUUGGUACGGACCCCCAGGGCUUCUGUGAUGCGCUCUCGAAGAGUCGAGUUGUUUGGGAAUGCAGCUCAAAAUGGGUGGUGAACUCCAUCUAAAGCUAAAUAUUGGCGAGAGACCGAUAGCGAACAAGUACCGUGAGGGAAAGAUGAAAAGCACUUUGGAAAGAGAGUGAAACAGUACGUGAAAUUGUUGAAAGGGAAACGCUUAAAGUCAGUCGCGUCCGCCGAGACUCAGCCUCGCUCCGGCUUGGUGUAUUUCUCGGUCGACGGGUCAGCGUCAAUUUCACCCCUCGGAUAAUGGCAAUGGAAAGGUGGCACCUUUGCGGGUGUGUUAUAGUCCUUUGUCGCAUGCGAGGGGUGGGAUUGAGGAACUCAGCA